CCUACGCGAGGCAGCAGUGAGGAAUAUUGGUCAAUGUACGAGAGUCUGAACCAGCCAAGUAGCGUGAAGGAUGACUGCCCUAUGGGUUGUAAUCUUCCUUUAUAUGGGAAUAAACUGUUCCACGUGUGGGUUUUUGUAUGUACCAUAUGAAUAAGGAUCGGCUAACUCCGUGCCAGCAGCCGCGGUAAUACGGAGGAUCCGAGUGUUAUCCGGAUUUAUUGGGUUUAAAGGGAGCGUAGGUGGAUUGUUAAGUCAGUUGUGAAUGUUUGCGGCUCAACCGUAAAAUUGCAGUUGAAACUGGCAGUCUUGAGUACAGUAGAGGUGGGCGGGAUUCGUGGUGUAGCGGUGAAAUGCUUAGAUAUCACGAAGAACUCCGAUUGCGAAGGCAGUUCACUGGACUGCAACUGACACUGAGGCUCGAAAGUGUGGGUAUCAAACAGGAUGAGAUACCCCAGUAGUC
rnacentral:rRNA from 1 species